rnacentral:rRNA from 1 species
UACAGAGGUCUCAAGCGUUGUUCGGAUUCAUUGGGCGUAAAGGGUGCGUAGGUGGCGCGGUAAGUCGGAUGUGAAAGCCCUGGGCUCAACCUAGGAAGUGCACUCGAAACUGCAUGGCUGGAGUUCUGGAGAGGAAGGCGGAAUUCUCGGUGUAGAGGUGAAAUUCGUAGAUAUCGAGAGGAACACCGGUGGCGAAGGCGGCCUUCUGGACAGUGACUGACGCUGAGACGCGAAAGCGUGGGGAGCAAACAGG